GACGAACGCUGGCGGCGUGCCUAAUACAUGCAAGUCGAGCGAUGAAGAUUGGUGCUUGCACCAAUUUGAAGAGCAGCGAACGGGUGAGUAACGCGUGGGGAAUCUGCCUUUGAGCGGGGGACAACAUUUGGAAACGAAUGCUAAUACCGCAUAACAACUUUAAACAUAAGUUUUAAGUUUGAAAGAUGCAAUUGCAUCACUCAAAGAUGAUCCCGCGUUGUAUUAGCUAGUUGGUGAGGUAAAGGCUCACCAAGGCGAUGUUACAUAGCCGACCUGAGAGGGUGGUCGGCCACAUUGGGACUGAGACACGGCCCAAACUCCUACGGGAGGCAGCCGUAGGGAAUCUUCGGCAAUGGACGAAAGUCUGACCGAGCAACGCCGCGUGAGUGAAGAAGGUUUUCGGAUCGUAAAACUCUGUUGGUAGAGAAGAACGUUGGUGAGCGUGGAAAGCUCAUCAAGUGACGGUAACUACCCAGAAAGGGACGGCUAACUACGUG
rnacentral:rRNA from 1 species